rnacentral:tRNA from 1 species
UGGCACAGUGGUUAAGUGCUUGGCUGCUAACCAAAAGGUCAGUGGUUCGAACCCACU